CAGUGCGACGCUAAAAUAUUCCUCUGACUAUCAUCAAUAUCCACGAAAUGCGAGGACAUCAGGACUCAAUAUGAAGGACUCACAUGCACAGGUCGGGGCUGUAGAAGUCAAUGAGGUCCUUCUGGCGGUUGGGAGGCCACAGUUCGCCUGCAGACCCGCCCACCUUAUUGCACGGAGUGUCGAAGAAGUCUGUUGUGUUUCGCUUGUUCCACAAGUCGAUUUUCCCUGCGUGGAGGAAAGGGUUAUGUACGAAUUUCAGCCAUUAGACACCUGCAUUGGUUAUAAGGUCGUUUGUCAUUCAUUAU